rnacentral:rRNA from 1 species
GACGAACGCUGGCGGCGUGCUUAACACAUGCAAGUCGAACGGUAAGGCCCUUCGGGGUACACGAGUGGCGAACGGGUGAGUAACACGUGGGUGAUCUGCCCUGCACUUCGGGAUAAGCCUGGGAAACUGGGUCUAAUACCGGAUAGGACUCCUGGCUUCAUGGUUGGGGGUGGAAAGCUUUUGCGGUGUGGGAUGGGCCCGCGGCCUAUCAGCUUGUUGGUGGGGUAAUGGCCUACCAAGGCGACGACGGGUAGCCGGCCUGAGGGUGACCGGUCACACUGGGACUGAGAUACGGCCCAGACUCCUACGGGAGGCAGCAGUGGGGAAUAUUGCACAAUGGGCGCAAGCCUGAUGCAGCGACGCCGCGUGAGGGAUGACGGCCUUCGGGUUGUAAACCUCUUUCAGCUAUGACGAAGCGCAAGUGACGGUAGUAGCAGAAGAAGGACCGGCCAACUACGUGCCAGCCGCCGCGGUAA